UCUGACAGUAGGGCUGCAAAACACACACCCACACACACACAAAAUCAAAAAUAACAACAUGAACAUCAGUUUCUUUUCCACAGAAUAACAACUCAGGCGAUGUCUAUUUUGGAAGCUCAGUAACGCAAAACACUGACAUACAAAGCUGAUUCACACACGAUUCAAAACACUUGAUGUCCUCAGGUCAUGACUAAUGGAUUAACAUCAACAACUGUGCUCCUCAGCGGUUACAUGCUGACCAAGUGCUGACUUUACAUCCAUCUCCACUUCUGGACAUACUGUUUGUUUGUUUGCAAUCUGUCUAACAUUUCCUCUUACAACUGUGAUUUCUUUAAAAGUCCCUCUGUUUCCCGUCUCCAGUACCCAUCCCUGGCUCUCUCUCGUCCUUCCCUCCUCACAGACUCACAUGCUGAUUAGAAGCUGUUGGUGUUCCUGGAGGCCUUGUUGUGUGUGUGUGUGUGUGUGUGUGUGUGUGUUUGUUGCCACUCUUCAUAUCCUGUUAAAUCUCCUCCUCUGUGUGCAGCUCUGGUUUUUCAUGUUGCUGCCGGCUCUCUGUGGUUGCAGCUGUUGUGUGAGUUUGGUCAAACUGAUGUAAUGGUUUAGACCUCUCCAAAAGCUAAUUAGUUCUCAAUACACUUGACUGACUACAAUUCGCUGUUUAUGUAUGUGUGUGUGUGUUAGAGGUUGCCAAUUUCCUUCAUCCCUGUUAUAAAAAAUAGAUUACUUAACCUGGUAAAACAUCUGCAUGCAUGUUUACAUAUGUAAAAUGCACAAGUGUGUUUUGUUUUGUUUGUCUCGUCUUGUAUGGAAUGCCAAUAACAAACCAAUCAUAUGUUUUCAGCGUACAGGUUUGGGGAAAUAUGAUUGGUUGAAAUUCAAAGGAUCGGGGACGGGUGACUUUUUUUUCCCAACAAAACACAGUGUGUGUAAAAAAAGUGUUUAUACUCGCUUGAGGUGGUUUUUGCCUGGGAUAUGGAAACGCCUUUGCCGAUUAAAUUCUGAUAUAGCCAACAUUCCACUCACAUGACCAAUCAGCUGUUUCUGCUGACGGCAUCUUCUCAGAUAUGUGUGAAUGCUUGUCUUUGUCUCUGGAUAACAUGAAACAUGACCAAUACUAGCUGACAUGAAAGAACAACUGAAACACAAUCCUGAAGACCUCUCUCCAUUUUUUCUAUUGUAGAUGGUUAGAUGACCAAGGAGACUUGUUUUGUUUCCGGUUCGCAACCUCUUUCUUCUUCUACUCUGUGGAUUACAGCCAUGCGUAGCCUAUAGCGCCAACUCCUGACCAAACUACGCUGCAGCCGAGUUUAUUCGCUCCAAACUACUUGAUGGA